rnacentral:rRNA from 1 species
AUGGGCGACCCCGCCAACCUUGACGACUGGGGGUGGCGUCGGUUUGUGGAAAGAACGGUCCUCGAGGAAAACUAUGUUAUUGAAGGACACAUCACGUUCGUAUGCACCAUCAUGGUCACGCGUUAUACUACCCCUCAUGUCACCGUGCCGCCAUCCGACAUCAAGAACCAUCUCGGCUGCUUACUGGAUCAGGCAUAUGGGACGGACGUGUCAUUUACUGUCGACAGCGAGAAACUCCCCGUGAACCGAGUGAUUCUUACAGCCCGCUCACCCGUCUUCAAGGCAGAGCUUUUUGGGUUCAUGGCUGAAGCUACAAUGGGAUCCAUCACGCUGCACGAUAUCACACCUUCAACAUUCAAACGUAUUCUUAGGUUCAUAUACACGGAUGAGUUUCCUACAACAGAGGAUAACCUUUCCAACGAGGUAUUGUUUGAUUUACUCGCCGCUGCAGACUGGUACGCACUAGACCGGCUAAAGCUUAUGUGUGUCCAAAAGUUAUGGGAUAAUGUGUCAAUGGAUACAGUUACGGAUAUUCAAGCUUGCGCUGACAUGUACAAUUGCCUCGAGUUGAAGAACAAGUGCAUUGACUUUAUUGCAAAAGAGGAAAAAGCAAAGAGGUCUCUUGUUUGA